GCUGGUGCAAGUGGUUAACCCGUUUGGCCUCUAACCAAAAGGUAGGUGGUUCAAGUCCACCCACAGGCA
rnacentral:tRNA from 1 species